rnacentral:rRNA from 1 species
AUUGAACGCUGGCGGAAUGCUUUACACAUGCAAGUCGAACGGCAGCACGGACUUCGGUCUGGUGGCGAGUGGCGAACGGGUGAGUAAUGUAUCGGAACGUGCCCAGUCGUGGGGGAUAACGUAGUGAAAAUUACGCUAAUACCGCAUACGAUCUAUGGAUGAAAGCGGGGGAUCGCAAGACCUCGCGCGAUUGGAGCGGCCGAUAUCAGAUUAGGUAGUUGGUGGGGUAAAGGCCCACCAAGCCAACGAUCUGUAGCUGGUCUGAGAGGACGACCAGCCACACUGGAACUGAGACACGGUCCAGACUCCUACGGGAGGCAGCAGUGGGGAAUUUUGGACAAUGGGCGCAAGCCUGAUCCAGCCAUUCCGCGUGCAGGAUGAAGGCCCUCGGGUUGUAAACUGCUUUUGUACAGAACGAAAAGCUCUGGGUUAAUACCUCGGGGUCAUGACGGUACUGUAAGAAUAAGCACCGGCUAACUACGUG